rnacentral:hammerhead_ribozyme from 1 species
CCAGCUGACGAGUCUCAAAUAGGACGAAACGCGCUUUGUCCUGG